CGCGUAGGCGGUUCGGUAAGUGGGAUGUGAAAGCCCUGGGCUCAACCUGGGAACUGCAUUCCAAACUGCCGAGCUAGAGUGUGGUAGAGGGAGGUAGAAUUUCCUGUGUAGCGGUGAAAUGCGUAGAUAUAGGAAGGAAUACCAGUGGCGAAGGCGGCCUCCUGGAUCAACACUGACGCUGAGGUGCGAAAGCGUGGGAGCAAACA
rnacentral:rRNA from 1 species